rnacentral:rRNA from 1 species
UACCAGCACCCCGAGUGGUCGGGACGUUUAUUGGGCCUAAAGCAUCCGUAGCCGGUUCUACAAGUCUUCCGUUAAAUCCACCUGCUUAACAGAUGGGCUGCGGAAGAUACUAUAGAGCUAGGAGGCGGGAGAGGCAAGCGGUACUCGAUGGGUAGGGGUAAAAUCCGUUGAUCCAUUGAAGACCACCAGUAGCGAAGGCGGCUUGCCAGAACGCGCUCGACGGUGAGGGAUGAAAGCUGGGGGAGCAAACCGG